rnacentral:rRNA from 1 species
AUUGAACGCUGGCGUCAGGCCUAACACAUGCAAGUCGAGCGAGAGGCAGACGGGUGAGUAAUGUCUGGGAAACUGACUGAUGGAGGGGGAUAACGACUGGAAAAGGUAGCUAAUACCGCCUACCACAAGAUGUGCCCAGAUGGGAUUAGCUAGUAGGUGGGGUAAAGGAUCACCUAGGCGACGCUCCCGAGCGGUUCUGAGAGGAUGACCAGCCACACUGGAACUGAGACACUGUCCAGACUCCUACGGGAGUCAGCAGUGGUGACUAUUGCACAAUGGGCGCAAGCUUGAUGCAGCCAUGCCGCGUGUAUGAAGAAGGCCUUCGGGUUGUAAAGUACUUUCAGCGGGGAGGCGUUACCCGCAGAAGACGCACCGGCUAACUCCGUGCCAGCAGCCGCGGUAAUUC